AUACGGAGGAUCCGAGCGUUGUCCGGAUUUAUUGGGCUUAAAGGGAGCGUAGGCGGAUGUUUAAGUCAGUUGUGAAAUAUUAAGGCUCAACCUUGAAAUUGCAGUCGAUACUGGACGUCUAGAGUGCAUUAGGUGAGGGCGGAAUUCGUGGUGUAACGGUGAAAUGCGUAGAUAUCAGGAAGAACUCCAAUUGCGAAGGCAGCUUACAGGACUGUAACUGACGCUGAUGGUCGAAAGUGUGGGUAUCAAACAGGAUUAGAUACCCUGGUAGUCCACACAGUAAACGAUGAAUACGCGCUGUUUGCGAUAUACAGUAAGCGGCCAAGCGAAAGCGUUAAGUAUUCCGCCUGGGGAGUACGCCGGCAACGGUAA
rnacentral:rRNA from 1 species